rnacentral:lncRNA from 1 species
AUUUAAGACAUUUGAGUCAAGAUCACUCCUUACAUGACCAAUGUACUUCUCAUAUCUAAUUUAGAAAUGAAAAAACUAGAAAAUAUAUUCUUUAUUAAUCUUCAAUCAAGGGGCGCCAUCAUUGUUUGAAUGGAUAUAAUUAUUCAUCGGCGACUACAAUACAUCCUCAUGCUUCUUUAUACCAAGGUGCUCCAUCAUUCCUACAAAAUGUUGAGUAAGUUAUAAAAGUCAGUUCACAUAAAUAAAUUGGCACAAAGUAUAGCAGCAGAUAAAAUCAGUAUAUGAGAGCAACUUACUUGAGCAUGCUGGCUUUUAUGAGGAGUCUGCUAGACCUCUAAGAAUUGUCAGAAAUUGGCACAAAGUACAGGACAUAAGAUGAAGUCAUAUCUG